GAGGAGGUCUAGAGGUCUGGAGGAGGUCUAGAGGAGGUUUGGAGGUCUAGAGGUCUGGAGGAGGUCUGGAGGAGGACUAGAGGAGGUCUGGAGGAGGUCUAGAGGUCUAGAGGUCUGGAGGAGGUCUGGAGGAGGUCUGGAGGAGGUCUGGAGGUCUAGAGGUCUGGAGGAGGUCUGGAGGAGGUCUAGAGGACUGGAGGUCUAGAGGUCUGGAGGAGGUCUGAACGUGGUCUGGAGGAGGUCUGGAGGAGGUCUGGAGGAAGUCUAGAGGAGGUCUGGAGGAGGUCUGGAGGUCUAGAGGUCUGGAGGAGGUCUGGAGGAGGUCUAGAGGUCUGGAGGUCUAGAGGUCUGAACGUGGUCUGGAAGAGGUCUGGAGGAGGUCUGGAGGAGGUUUGGAGGUCUGAACGUGGUCUGGAGGAGGUCUGGAGGAGGUCUGGAGGAGGUCUGGAGGAGGUCUAGAGGUCUGGAGGUCUAGAGGUCUGGAGGUGGUCUGGAGGAGGUCUGAACGUGGUCUGGAGGAGGUCUGGAGGUCUGGAGGAGGUCUGGAGGGCCUCCUAGAACCACAACGCGAUACGACAAUAACAUGAAGACGAGGCCGGACUCCAAACUGUCAGAUCAACUUUGACCUGCGUGUUCUGAUCCCACCAAAACCAGAGGACCGCCAGGCAGCGCUGUGUUUGGUCCGGACUGCCAGGCUGCACUGUGAUUGGUCCGGACUGCCAGGCAGCGCUGUGAUUGGUCAGGACCAGCAGGGGUUAAAGGUCGUGCCUGUGGGCAGGACGUGCUCCGUCACGCCUGAUUAGAACAUGCUUACAUUACGACCUGCGUGAUGAAUAUGCAUGUGACCUCCUUCUCCCUCCCCCUCCUCCCCCCUCCUCCCCCCUUGAGCCUGGACCCCCCCCCUGGGCGCGAGACGCCACCUCUCAAUGGGCACAGCCUGCAUGGCAGACAGCAGACAACACACACACACACACACACACACACACACACACACACACACACACACACACACACACACACACACACAUACACACACACACACUAACACACACGCUGACACACAUAUGUACACGGAUGCACACACACACAGAUACACGUACACGUACCCUACACAUUGUGAUGCACACAAACAUUCCUUCACAUAGGAAGCACACACACACGGUUCAUCACCAAUAUUGCUCCCUUUUUCUUGUGAAUGUGACUUUUAUUGACAGGUGAUAAAGAUACACACACACACGCACACAAACACACACACCGACCACACACCAUGGCACUCUGACACUAAAAUCAUUCUUGUGCUGUAAUUCUCUCCCUCUCUCACUGACCUUUCUCCUGUGUGUUUUACAUAAAGAUAAAGGGAGGAGGAGGGAGGAGAUCUAUUAUUCAUGUACUCACACCACCCCUAGGGGUUCAUAUCUCAGAGCUCAACAUUCACACAGUGUGUGUGUGUGUGUGUGUGUGUGUGUGUGUGUGUGAGAGUGUGUCUGUGUGUGUGU
ensembl:lncRNA